UACGGAGGGGGCUAGCGUUGUUCGGAAUUACUGGGCGUAAAGCGCACGUAGGCGGCUUUGUAAGUUAGAGGUGAAAGCCCGGGGCUCAACUCCGGAAUUGCCUUUAAGACUGCAUCGCUAGAAUUGUGGAGAGGUAAGUGGAAUUCCGAGUGUAGAGGUGAAAUUCGUAGAUAUUCGGAAGAACACCAGUGGCGAAGGACGACUUUACUGGGACACAUAUUGACGCUGAGGUGCGAAAGCGUGGGGAGCAAACAGG
rnacentral:rRNA from 1 species